UCGUUUCACUAUCUUUAAUAGUUUUCAGCUUUUUUUUUUUUGCCUUUUCGCUUUUUAUGUCAUUCAUUCUUUUACUCAAAUCCCAUUUGGCUAUUGGACAGAAGAAGCUAGACCCUUAAUUACUUAUUAUCGAAGUUUUCUUGACUUGUAUCUGUCUUUUGAUUCAUUUGCUAAAAUCUCAUUUGGAUUUUGAGCAAAAGAAAAGCUGUUUACUACUAGUUCUUAAGUUGGUGAAGUGAAGUGAAGUGAAAUUUUGUGAUUUUGGUUGUAAUGGCAGCUCCAAAACCUGAAGAGAUAAGCCAUCCUCCUAUGGAUCAACUUCAGGGGUUAGAGUAUUGUAUUGAUUCUAAUCCUUCUUGGGGGGAAGCAAUAGCACUGGGAUUUCAACACUAUAUAUUGGCAUUAGGAACAGCAGUGAUGAUUCCAACAUUUCUUGUUCCUUUAAUGGGUGGGACUGAUGGUGAUAAGAUUAGGGUAGUUCAGACUCUACUCUUUGCACAAGGAAUUAACACAUUACUCCAAACAUUAUUUGGGACACGACUGCCGACUGUUAUUGGAGGAUCUUGGGCGUUUAUGGUACCGAUAAUUUCCAUAAUUCAUGAUCCAUCCUUGGCUGCAAUAACUGAUCCUCAUUCAAGAUUUCUCAAUACAAUGAGAGCAAUACAGGGUGCACUGAUUGUAGCUUCAAGUGUGCAGAUUGUUUUGGGAUAUAGUCAACUUUGGGCUAUAUGUUCUAGGUUUUUCAGCCCACUUGGGAUGGUUCCAGUAAUAUCAUUGGUGGGCUUUGGCCUUUUUGAUAGAGGCUUCCCAGUGGUUGGCAGGUGUGUGGAGAUUGGAAUUCCCAUGCUCAUCUUAUUUGUUGCCUUCUCUCAGUACUUGAAACAUUUUCAGACGAGACAACUGCCAGUAUUGGAGCGUUUUGCUCUUAUAAUCUCAGUCACAGUUAUUUGGGCUUAUGCACAUCUCCUCACAGCCAGUGGGGCCUACAAACAUCGUCCAGAAAUAACCCAAAGAAACUGCCGCACAGAUAAAGCAAACCUGAUUUCCACUGCGCCUUGGAUUAAAAUCCCAUAUCCACUUCAAUGGGGCGCACCAACAUUUGAUGCUGGUCAUGCCUUUGGAAUGAUGGCUGCUGUACUCGUUUCUAUGAUUGAGUCAACUGGAGCUUACAAAGCGGCAUCUCGCCUAGCAAGUGCUACACCGCCUCCUGCUCAUGUUCUUAGCCGUGGUAUUGGCUGGCAGGGAAUUGGGAUCUUGUUGGAUGGACUCUUUGGGACAGCUACCGGGUCUACAGUCUCUGUAGAAAAUGUUGGUCUUCUUGGAAGCACUCGUGUUGGCAGCCGUAGAGUUAUCCAAAUAUCAGCUGGUUUUAUGAUAUUUUUCUCAAUUCUAGGAAAAUUUGGAGCACUAUUUGCAUCAAUACCUUUCACCAUAUUUGCAGCUGUAUACUGUGUUAUGUUUGGGCUUGUUGCUUCCGUGGGGUUGUCCUUCUUGCAAUUUACAAACAUGAAUUCAAUGAGAAGCCUCUUUAUCACCGGUGUUUCCCUUUUCCUUGGUUUGUCUAUUCCUGAGUACUUCAGGGAGUAUACCACGGCUGCUCUUCAUGGUCCUGCUCAUACAAAGGCUGGUUGGUUCAAUGAUUUUCUUAAUACCAUCUUCUUAUCCUCUCCCACCGUUGCCUUGAUUGUUUCCGUAUUCCUGGACAAUACACUUGAUUACAAAGACAGUGCUAAGGAUAGGGGAAUGCCAUGGUGGGUAAAGUUCAGGACGUUUAAAGGGGACAGCAGGAAUGAAGAGUUUUACACCCUUCCUUUCAACCUCAAUCGCUUUUUCCCUCCAUCAUGAUUGCAUUGCAAGAGGAAUGGGAAGGCACUUGGAAGGGCUUCUCAUCUGCUGAUAAAGAUUUAUGCUUACACAGAGAACCCUCAUGAGAAAGGGCAGCCAGGGCCAUACAGUUUGAGUCAGUAGAGAAUGACAGAUUUGCCUCCACUGUCACUAUUUUUUCAUUAAUUUGAUAUAUACAAUUUGGGUUAUUUAAGAUUAAUCCAACGAAACGAAUUGGGUUCAUUUGUUAGAUGAAGCAUAUAUGGCCUUACCUGAUUGAUACAUAUACCAUUACUAAAACUCACAUGAGAUUCUGAA